AUCCUGUCUGAAUAUGGGGGGACCAUCCUCCAAGGCUAAAUACUCCUGACUGACCGAUAGUGAACCAGUACCGUGAGGGAAAGGCGAAAAGAACCCCUGUGAGGGGAGUGAAAUAGAACCUGAAACCGUGUACGUACAAGCAGUAGGAGCACCUUCGUGGUGUGACUGCGUACCUUUUGUAUAAUGGGUCAGCGACUUAUAUUCAGUGGCAAGGUUAACCAUCUAGGGGAGCCGUAGGGAAACCGAGUCUUAACUGGGCGCCAUAGUCUCUGGAUAUAGACCCGAAACCGAGUGAUCUAGCCAUGGGCAGGUUGAAGGUUGAGUAACAUCAACUGGAGGACCGAACCGACUAAUGUUGAAAAAUUAGCGGAUGACUUGUGGCUAGGGGUGAAAGGCCAAUCAAACUCGGAGAUAGCUGGUUCUCCCCGAAAGCUAUUUAGGUAGCGCCUCGGACGAAUACUACUGGGGGUAGAGCACUGUUAAGGCUAGGGGGUCAUCCCGACUUACCAACCCUUUGCAAACUCCGAAUACCAGUAAGUACUAUCCGGGAGACACACGGCGGGUGCUAACGUCCGUCGUGGAGAGGGAAACAACCCAGACCGCCAGCUAAGGUCCCAAAUUACAGCUAAGUGGGAAACGAUGUGGGAAGGCUUAGACAGCUAGGAUGUUGGCUUAGAAGCAGCCAUCAUUUAAAGAAAGCGUAAUAGCUCACUAGUCGAGUCGGCCUGCGCGGAAGAUGUAACGGGGCUAAGUU
rnacentral:rRNA from 1 species